UACGUAGGGUGCGAGCGUUGUCCGGAAUUACUGGGCGUAAAGGGCUCGUAGGCGGCCAACUAAGUCGGAUGUGAAAUCCCCAGGCUCAACCUGGGAACUGCAUCCGAUACUGGAUGGCUUGAAUUCGGGAGAGGGAUGCAGAAUUCCAGGUGUAGCGGUGAAAUGCGUAGAUAUCUGGAGGAAUACCGGUGGCGAAGGCGGCAUCCUGGACCGACAUUGACGCUGAGGAGCGAAAGCGUGGGGAGCAAACAGG
rnacentral:rRNA from 1 species